rnacentral:rRNA from 1 species
ACUCCUACGGGAGGCAGCAGUGAGGAAUUUUGGACAAUGGGGGAAACCCUGAUCCAGCGACGCCGCGUGUGGGAUGAAUGGGUUAUGCCCUGUAAACCACUGUCAGCAGAGAAGAAAAGGCUCCUUAGGAGCCCGGGACUGUAUCUGCAGAGGAAGGACCGGCUAACUACGUGCCAGCAGCCGCGGUAAUACGUAGGGUGCGAGCGUUAAUCGGAAUUACUGGGCGUAAAGCGCAUGCAGGUGGCUUGUUAAGUCAGAUGUGAAAGCCCGGGGCUCAACCUCGGAAUUGCAUUUGAAACUGGCAGACUAGAGUACUGUAGAGGGGGUAGAAUUUCAGGUGUAGCGGUGAAAUGCGUAGAGAUCUGAAGGAAUACCGGUGGCGAAGGCGGCCCCCUGGACAGAUACUGACACUCAGAUGCGAAAGCGUGGGGAGCAAACAGGAUAGAUACCCUGGUAGGAUAGCG